UACGUAGGGGGCAAGCGUUGUCCGGAAUCAUUGGGCGUAAAGCGCGUGUAGGCGGCCCGGUAAGUCCGCUGUGAAAGUCCAGGGCUCAACCCUGGGAUGCCGGUGGAUACUGUCGGGCUCGAGUCCGGAAGAGGAGUGUGGAAUUCCUGGUGUAGCGGUGAAAUGCGCAGAUAUCGGGAGGAACACCGAUAGCGAAGGCAGCUCGCUGGGACGGUACUGACGCUGAGGUGCGAAAGCGUGGGGAGCGAACAGG
rnacentral:rRNA from 1 species